UUUACUCAACUCCCCUUUUGUCUAUUUCUUCUCUCAUUUCCUUCUUUCUUCUUUGUUUCUUCAAUGUCUAGGUUGUCAAGUACUUACGAAAGUUACUCGGGUGAAGGAAGAAACGGGUGUCGUUGGCUUAGAGUUGAGUACGAAAAUUGUUGGUGUCGCCAAAGAGCAAGUCUCAAAAUAGUGGCUGACGCACGACGAGAAUCUUACGGUAUGUUGUACUUCGUUUGCGAGAAGAAAGAUUCGUCGAGAAGACGUUGACGAAGUUGAAUCACAAAGUUGUGAAGAUCGAAAGUGUGGCCGGACAGUGGGAGCUGGAUGUAAAGGGAAAGAAUUUUUUCUUGUAUGUGUUGCUUGUUGUUCUUUAGUUGUUGCAAUUGCUGCUAUGGUUAUUAGUUUGGUAAAUUAGAUCCGUCUAUUGGAAGCUUAGUGUAAUACAAUUAUGUUCAGUUGAUUUGGGGAAGACAACUACAUUUGUUAUUAUUUUGGUACUACAUUUGUUAUUAUUUUGGUAGUAAUGGUGUUAUUAUUUAGUACUAUUGGUUUUGGUACUGCAGUUGUUAUUAUUUUGGCACUACAUUUGUUAUUAUUUUGGUAAUAGUAAACUACGACUAAUUAUUUUGA